rnacentral:tRNA from 1 species
ACCUAUCUGGAUCAGUUGGUGGAGUGUGUGACUCUUGGUCUCAGGGUUAUGGGUACAAGUCCCAUGUUGGGUA